rnacentral:rRNA from 1 species
UACGGAGGGUGCAAGCGUUAAUCGGAAUUACUGGGCGUAAAGCGCACGCAGGCGGUCUGUAAAGUCGGAUGUGAAAUCCCCGGGCUCAACCCAUGAAGUGCAUUCGAAACUGGCAGACUUGAGUCUUGUAGAGGGGGGUAGAAUUCCAGGUGUAGCGGUGAAAUGCGUAGAGAUCUGGAGGAGUACCGGUGGCGAAGGCGGCCCCCUGGACAAAGACUGACGCUCAGGUGCGAAAGCGUGGGGAGCAAACAGG